GCCGAGGUAGCUCAGUGGUAGAGCGCUGCCCUGAAGAGGCAGGCGUCGUCAGUCCGAUUCUGACCCUCGGCA
rfam:Candidatus Thrbacteria bacterium RIFCSPLOWO2_02_FTLL_48_12 rifcsplowo2_02_scaffold_5787, whole genome shotgun sequence.